rnacentral:rRNA from 1 species
UACGUAGGGUGCGAGCGUUAAUCGGAAUUACUGGGCGUAAAGCGUGCGCAGGCGGUUUUGUAAGCCAGAUGUGAAAUCCCCGGGCUUAACCUGGGAAUGGCAUUUGGGACUGCAAGGCUCGAGUGCGGCAGAGGAGACUGGAAUUCCUGGUGUAGCAGUGAAAUGCGUAGAUAUCAGGAGGAACACCGAUGGCGAAGGCAGGUCUCUGGGCUGACACGUGACGCUGGAGACGCGAAAGCGUGGGGAGCGAACAGG